rnacentral:rRNA from 1 species
UACAGAGGUGGCAAGCGUUGUUCGGAAUUACUGGGCGUAAAGGGCGCGUAGGCGGCCAUCUAAGUCAGACGUGAAAUCCCCCGGCUUAACCUGGGAACUGCGUCGGAUACUGGAUGGCUUGAAUCCGGGAGAGGGAUGCGGAAUUCCAGGUGUAGCGGUGAAAUGCGUAGAUAUCUGGAGGAACACCGGUGGCGAAGGCGGCAUCCUGGACCGGCAUUGACGCUGAGGAGCGAAAGCCAGGGGAGCAAACGGG